rnacentral:rRNA from 1 species
UACGGAGGGCGCUAGCGUUGUUCGGAAUUACUGGGCGUAAAGCGCGCGUAGGCGGCUUUGUAAGUUAGAGGUGAAAGCCCGGGGCUCAACCCCGGAACAGCCUUUAAGACUGCAUCGCUAGAAUCCGGGAGAGGUGAGUGGAAUUCCGAGUGUAGAGGUGAAAUUCGUAGAUAUCGGAAGGAACAUCAGUGGCGAAAGCGACUUCCUGGACCAAUACUGACGCUCAUGUGCGAAAGCGUGGGGAGCAAACAGG